UUGAUGAUUAUAGCCAUAUUCCAGACUAUGUGGAAGACUCGAACUCUCUGUAAAUAAAAGUAUGAUUAUUUUCAUUUCAAAGACCAAAGCUGAAAGUAGGACCCCACAGGAGGUCUGUCACCCACUAGCUUGCACAUGUGACUGUGUAAAAAUAACUUUCUGAGGGCAAAGAUCGAUGGUGUUCUUUAAAGAAGAACAUAGGGACUCAAUAACUAAUUAGCUUAUGUCUCUCUGUUCCUGUAAUUGCAAACCAUGCUGGAAUCAACUUUCUGAAAGUGUGAAAUAGCUAUUACUGUACCGCUUGCUUCUACCACCAAACUCUAUUUUUACACUUGGGAUAUUUCUUUUCUAUGGACUUAGUUCAGCCAAAAAUUUAUGUAAGAAUUCUCUCUUAUGUCCAAAAUAUAAAUAUAACAUCCUUCUCUAGGGUGAAACUAACAAUUUUAAGAAGAAUAUGAGGAAAAGGUUCAGGUUGAUGAGCUGAAUGUUAGAAGUCAAGAGCUCUAGACUCUUCUUUUUAUCUUCAAAACAGAGCUGUGCCAAUUCUCAUUCUGGAUUAGGCAUCUCAUAAUUUACUUCACUUUUUUAACCUGCAAAAUGGCACGGUAGACAUCUAUAUAUACAGUAUCAUCAACUCAAACUCACCGGAAAGAUUCAUGCAAGUGAAUUGAUUUAGAGAUAGGGUCUGGCUUUAUCGUAAGUGACAUUUUUAAAUAGACAACUGGGUAGAAGUAACAUAGCAACAUAAAGAUAGACUUGUAUUUUCAUAAAACUUCAUCACAACUAGUUGAAAAGUGGAAAAGAAAAAACCCACACAAUCCAACCAGGAUGGAUGUUCCAUGAGGACCUUGCUUAUCUUGUCUGUCAAUGUCUAGCUCAAUGCUGGGCACAUGGAAGAUACUCAGGAAAUAAUUGCCAAAUGGUUGGAAUAAUGAACAAAGAAGAUUGAGCACUGCCAAGAUAGGCUGGGCCUGGCCUGUUCCGAACCACUUCACUCAUAUGUCUGACAGUUGCAUGGGACUGUCAGCCAACCCAUCUUAGUUCUCGUCCCUGUGAUCUCUCCAUAUGGCAGAGGAGUCCCCCC